UCCACUACUUUUGAUAUGAUUAAAAAAAUGUAUAACAUUUGAAAAUAGUCGUUUUAUUAUUAUUAUUAGGGGCGUUAAAAAAAAGAGUUGACUGGCGUUGUAAGCAGAAAGUUAGAAAUGUAGAAUAUAAUUUAGGUAGUUAUUUAGUUUGUAUUAAUAUUAUAAACAUACUAAAUGUUUGAACAUUAAAUUCAACUCAAUUAAACUCUGCAUAAAAUUCCA